rnacentral:lncRNA from 1 species
UGGUCUUCAGUCCAUGCAGGGGGUGGGGUGGGGGGAGCGCGGUGGUGAUCAAUGGGCCUAGUCCAGAAGACUCUGUCUGUAUGUCCCAUAGGGAGGUCACAAAGAAGUCCUUAUUGAGGGCAGAUAUCUGGACUCACCACAUUCAGUAACUGGGAGAGAGCUGAGAACUGGAAAUUUGGCUCACCUCUCAUGUUUACAUACAUCAUGAGUGGCAUCAAGUCAUAUCCUUGACUUUAGGAUAUCUGAACCUUUGGAAAUUGUAACUAGAAGUCUUAAAACAUUAGCUACGUAUUGAUUCUCUCACCUUCAGAAAAAUGGAAUGUCCUCUUUCAUAAGAGGUGGAGUUUUCCCAUGUUGCCCAUGCUGGUCUGGAACUCCUGAGCACAGGUGAUCCACCCGCUUCUGCCUCCCAAAGUGCUGGAAUUACAGGCAUGAGUGACUGCGCCUGACCCAUUUCCUUGUUUCUCUUUUCUUUGUUUUUCCCACCUCCCGUAGAAACAACUGAAGAACAGCAGAAUACAACUAUUCGUUCCCUAGGGCGCCUAAAUUUCCCAGUGUUCCUUUAGAAUCUGAUGAGAUGAGGUUUAGAUCUGAUGACCAUCAAAAGUAAUUGGAUUCUUUACAUUGAUUAUAUUAUAGAAUUGUUUUCAGAAAAGAUAGUCAAGAAAUUUUAGGAAAUGUAAUAUAUAACUAAUUGGUAUAGCCUAUAUGCUGUACCAAUAGGAUAUAUAAUAAGAUAUAUAAGCAACGGUUCAUUAAACCAUCUAAAACUUAGGACUCAGGCCAAUCUUUUAAAUCAUUAGGGAUAUUCUCGGCAUGGACCUCAAGAGAUAGAA